CAGAAACUAUCAUUACCGCAGCAACUAAGAAACUAAAGUAUACUGGUGGGGCAGCACUUUCUGCUACAACUCGACUUGUCUCAUUUUCAGGUUGCUAGUGAUUUGGGUUAAGGUCAUAGUCCAUAAGAAAACAGAAAGGACAGAAGCCAAGCUUUUUAGCUUACCUAAUGAGGAGAGAAGAACUAAAAUACUCCUUAGGGAUCAUCACCUCAAAGAGAAGGUUUGUGAACGCUGCCAUUACACAGAGCUAGAUCACCCUUCCUGGAUGAAACGGUAUGGCCUUCAGACAUGCUGCUUUCUCCUUGGCUUCUUUCCCUGCGUCAUGGAGUGGCCUUGCCUUGAGAAAUGCUGCUCCUCGUUACCCAUGAAAACAGCCAAGCUGCACUUAGUAAAUGCCAAUCUGAGUAUUUUCACCUAUUGCGGGGGCCUCUGGAACAUAACUCCCAUGACAGCAGGCCACCAUGACAGUCCUCAUUCUUGGCCUUGAGCUCCCACAGUGAUGUUCUGCCUUCUCACAGGCACAGAAACAACAGAACGGGCUGACCAAAGACAGAAACCUCCACAACUGUUUUUUUUAGUCCAUUUUGGAGUACGUGAGGAUUACAUUACUGUAUGGAGCUGUUAUCCCAUGGAUCAUGUUAUAUGGUCUCCUGGCAGUAAGUUUAUGAUAAACAACAUUUUCUAAGGGAAUCAAAAGGAAGAAUAUAUCUCAUUUGGAUGUAAAAAGGUUACACAGAGCAAAAUCAUUCCUUGGGAGGUAAGGUUGAAAAGAAAUGGGAUACAUAAUGGAGCCUUAUUAUAAGAACAGACAGGAGAAAAGAGUGGUUCCCCGGGGAAAACCAGCGAUUACUUCCCAGCCAGGCCUUCUGAAGGUUGGAGAGUCACACACAAGAUGGGUGUUUGUUCAGAGGAACUCGCAUUAUUCCUCAGAGUUAGGCAUUUAUUUUUUUUUGUAUGGUGCUCUAGCAUUCCCUGGUUUUGGUGACUUUUGUUCUCUCUUACCGUCAAAGGUUCUUGCAACAAUAAAUUCUUGUUUACUACGCAGAACUAGCUCAUAAUAUUUUUCAUAGCCUUUUCUUUUCCAAGGCUUGCACUACGGUGAUAAGAAUCACUCUGCCUGACUCAGUUAAAUUACGGAGGAAAAUAGGUUGUUCAAUUCGGUUUCAUUGCUUCUGAGCCUCAGGGGAAGCAGAGAGUCAUGGGAAUGCGGUGGAGAAAUGGCUCACCUCAUGUUGUACAGGAAGCAAAGUAGUGGGGGGGGGAGCAUCCGGGUGCACAAUGUACCCUUUUGUAGUGUGCUCCCAAUCAUUUAUCAUUCUGAGCCCACCCCUUGAAAUCUACACAGGUCCCAGUCGCAAAAUCAGCUGGGGACCAAGUCUUUGAGGAACGAGUCUUUGGGGAACAUUCCAGAUCUGAACUACAGAGAGUUUGAUUGACUUGGAACUUCACAGUCCAGUUCAAGGAAUGCCUGCUGGAAAGAUCUUGUAGCCACAGUGAGCGUCCUAUACCUUGAUAAAGUCAAUGGGCACAGCCAAGAAGCUGAAGGAAAAUGGGACAGUGAGGAUGAUUCAUGCAAAGAACUGCUACCUAAUAACUUCAGGUUGAGUCACACCCCACAGGAAGUACUUAGAGAUACCCUGUUGGUCAGAAAAUAAAAGAAGCUUACAGAUACAGUCACUUUUACUGAAGGAGGAAAUCAAAGAGGCCCAUACUUCUGGACAUCACUUAUCCAGGCCAUUGCCCUCACAGGAGGCUGCAGUGGACGUGACACUUUCUUCAAGAUUUCCUGUGUACGGGGCCAUCUUUUGUGUUAUCUUCCCCUCCUGUUCCUAAGCAUUCUUUUCCAGACUAGAAACAAGUCCAUAGUUCAAUCACAAAAUGAUCUGAAAAUUUGUCAAGAAUGAGGAACUAAGUAUAACUAAAGGAAAAUUUUUGAGAGAUAUACAGGGAAAACGGGAAGCCACGUACUUUGGGCAAUAGCAGCGGCAGAAUGACCUUAAGGGCACAUUGAGACUUGGAGUCGGUAUUUCUGGGAGGCGGCACCUGUGAGAAUCAUGGAGCACUUUGCUACUUUCUCUUUAACCUGAAAUUUGUUUAUGAUUCAAUUAUACAUUCUCAUUGCUAUUCUUCUUUGUCAGCGUCAGUUCAUUGUUGGUCUUUAAACACAAACCCACUCUCCAGUGAGCUUUUCAGGCUUCUAAAAUAGCACUGUGCUUGCUUUCAUUAUUUAAUUUCAGUAAUUAUUAAGGCACCAUUCUUAUGAUGCCAAAGUUAUAUUUUAUGGUAUAUAAGUUUGAAUGCUUCCGGUCGCAUGUGUGACUAAUACUACUUGGUAUGCACAAUUGUUUUCUUUUUAUUUUUAAUGAAAAAUACAAAAAUAUUUAAAAUUUCUGCCUUAUUAUAAUACAGUUAUAUCUAUUGUGAUUGUUUUAAACUAUGUAAUACAAAUCUGUCCGCUGAAGGAGUUCUCAGUUAUACUGAUUCCAUCAUAAUUUACAUUAAGAAAACAAAAAUCAACUCUGAAAUUUGAAACAACAGCAUAAAACAAGGGCCAAAAUUGUUAUUCUCUGCUGAUUUCAUCUAAGAUGUGCUCUGUAAGAAAAUAAAGCAUAAAAUAUAAUUACAAA